UCCGGUUUGACACCGGCAGUCCCCCCAGAGUCCCGUUGCUGGCAACUGAGGGUAAGGGUUUCGCUCGUUAUGGGACUUAACCCGACAUCUCACGACACGAGCUGACGACAGCCAUGCAGCACCUGUAGAAGGUUCCGGACUGGAUACCGUUGGCCCCACGUUUCCGCGGGCUACUUCCCUCCGCUUUCGCACAUGUCAAGCCUAGGAUAAGGUUCUUCGCGUAGCCUCGAAUUAAGCCACAUGCUCCACCGCUUGUGUGAGCCCCCGUCAAUUCCUUUGAGUUUCAGCCUUGCGGCCAUACUCCCCAGGCGGAGGACUUAGCACUUUGGCUCCGGCAGUCAGCCCAUGCCGGCCGACUACCUAGUCCUCAUCGUUUAGGGCCAGGACUAC
rnacentral:misc_RNA from 1 species